AACAUUUUUCGGAACGUUUCUAUUGGCACGACUGUAAAUAUUGUUUUAUUUGCUUAAAAUAAUAUGUAAAUUGUAAUGCGAGCAUGUGGAACGUCUAUAACAUAAAUAAAGUCCCUUAAUAUGUUUAAUUAUACAUUAAGCACCUAAUAUAAAUUGUGAUUUCUUGAACUCAUUGCAAACUUGUCAAUGAUGUUUUCUUUGUUGUUCUUCAGCUCCAGCGCAAGAUCAUUUUUAAUGGCAAUGAUCAUUAAGGAUUCAAGGUUUUCCUGCGUUAGCGACGAUGUUAGCCUUGUCUUGACUAGCUUCAACUGCGAGAAUGACCUUUCGCAUGAGCAUUGUGUGACGAUUAAUGUUACUAAGUAUUUGUAAGCUAGAAACAGAUUCUCGUAAGCUAUGGAGCAUAAUUUAUGCUGUGAUAGUGUGAUAACACGCGAAAUGCGCGUGAAAGACACUUUUUGCAUGCAGCCUUCUUUCACCACUACUUUUUAUGAAUUUUCGCCGUCUUUGUCAUCAUGACUAUAAUUUGACAAGUCGCUGAGAUCGUCACCAUUUUCUGCUCACAAGCCUUGAUGGUAGUUUGAAGCAAAGGAUAAGAGCUCUAGCUUCCUUUAUAAAGAGAUCGCGUCUACUUCAGGCAAAGUUUCGUGGUAGGAUUGAUCAAUCUCUCAGUGGGUUCUUACUUCCUGAAACUUGGAAUCUCUCUUCCCCUGUGGUCGUUUGAACACUCCGGCUUCAUUACAUUCUGCGCAUGUCUGGACGUGUUGAUGUCAUCGUGUUGUACCACAUGCCUUGGUAAGACAAAACUCAUGUGAAAUAAAUGCGAAGGUAUCGCGUAUCAAAUACUAAUACUUCAUGUUAAAUGAAUGUUUGGAAAAUACAUGCGAGGGGUUCCUGCAUGCAUGUAUUUCUAGUAUAUUUAUACUCACCGCUUCG